AAAUACGCAUAAUUACUAAAUUGCGAAUAGAGAAGAUAGAUAUUU
rnacentral:misc_RNA from 1 species